AGUGAACGCUGGCGGUAGGCCUAACACAUGCAAGUCGAACGGCAGCACAGUAAGAGCUUGCUCUUACGGGUGGCGAGUGGCGGACGGGUGAGGAAUACAUCGGAAUCUACUUUUUCGUGGGGGAUAACGUAGGGAAACUUACGCUAAUACCGCAUACGACCUACGGGUGAAAGCAGGGGAUCUUCGGACCUUGCGCGAUUGAAUGAGCCGAUGUCGGAUUAGCUAGUUGGCGGGGUAAAGGCCCACCAAGGCGACGAUCCGUAGCUGGUCUGAGAGGAUGAUCGGCAACACUGAACCUGAGCAAGGUUCAAGAUUCUAAGGGGAGGAGGAGGUGGGAAAUAUGGACAAUGGGGGGAAGCCUUGACCAGGCCAUACGGGGGGGGUGAAGAGGGCUUUCGGGUGGUAAGGCCUUUUUGUUGGGAAAAAAAGCAGGAGGUUAAAACCCCGCUGUUCUGACGGUACCCAAAGAAUAAGCACCGGCUAACUUCGUG
rnacentral:rRNA from 1 species